GGGCCCUUAGCUCAGUUGGUUAGAGCAGUGGACUCAUAAUCCAUUGGUCCGGGGUUCAAGUCCCUGAGGGCCCACCA
rnacentral:tRNA from 1 species